ACUGGGUUUUCUGCACCAACAAUCUACCAGAGCAUUUUAAUCAUAUUAGAAAUGGAUAUAAGCAACAAUACAAACUACUCUGGAUCAUUCAUAAAUGGUGUUCUGUGCAGCUAUGUUAUAAUUCAAGCAUGGAAAAGCAAUAAGUUGUUGGGAAUAAUAUGAAGUUCACAAAAUUAGAAUAUUAAAGUGUCUCAAAAUAGUCUUGCAUAGACCUUGUUUUCUAAACUUUUCAAGCACCUGAAUUGAAAGGGAAUUAUUGAGGUUUAGUUUGGUAAAAAGAAAAUGUAUUAUACACACAAGGCUACUAUAAGUGUUUUAAAUAAUGGUAUCAGUUUGUUCUGGACUUGUGGUCAUGUUAUUGCAGUAUCAGACCAUAACCAGCCAUAUUGCUCAGCAGUAACAUGAAUUUUUUUAAAAAUUCACAAAACAACUUAUAGCAUAUUAGGAAAAAAAAAAUAACUAAAACAAUCUUAUUAACAUAACAAUUUAUAGAAACAGCAAUAAUCUCAUAUAAAAACAGCAUCAUACUGACCAUGAAAGAUAUCAAAUAUUGGAAUCUAGUACUAUGUCUUUAAAGCUUUCCCAUUCUUCAGUUGACAAUGAAAUAGAUAAUGCAAUUUUUCCUAGCUACAUUUUACUUCCAACUCUAGCAUGGAUUAAACCAAUAAUAAAUGAAACAAAGUUUCCCCAUUUGUCUACCAAACUGUCAGGUAUGUAGCCACAACCAACAGUGGAGAGAACAAGAAAGAACAAAUUCACAGUUCUGUGCAAUAAUUUAUAACUAGAAAACCUAUUCUAGUAAUGACAGUUCCAGAGAGAAAGAUGUUAAUUAGUAAAAAUAGUACUUGUAGUCAUACAAGUCCUAAAUCCUCCAUAAAAUCAUACUUAAUGUUAGCAAACACCAGAAGUAUCAAUGUUAUUGCCUCUGCCAACUGCCAAGAAUGAUGGUUGAACAAAGCACCCAUUAAAAACACUAACGGCAUCUCAACUAUCAUUUUCGCUGCCAUAAAACAAAUGCCACAGAUAUUUCCCAUUAGAUGCACCAACAUAAACUACAGUUACUAGUCCAAUAUCAUCAGUACCCUCCCUUCUUCUCUUUCAUAAAUUACAGCAUUGCACUGUACCACCAGUAUCACCACCUACACAAUGAGCAAUACACUUUUUGUUUUUUUUUGCUAGCAAUGAACUUCUAUGAAGGCACAUCAAACUUUCUCUUCCCUUGGUUUAUAAAACAGGAAAUCAUGGAUGCAAAGCAUUAUGGAUAAUAAUAUGUAAGAGCAACCAUCACAUAAACCAACCAAAUGAAGAAGAAGAAGAAUAUAUUAAUUAGUGAACGUGUAUCAUUGAAACACUACGUACCAACAUGAAGCAUGAAUAAGGAAUAAAAAAAUAGCAGGCAUCAUAAUUUUGGCAAAAGAAUCAUAUAAAAUCAUUCUUGAGCAUACAACACCAAGUAUCUUCAACAACCAACAGCAGAAUAUGUAGAGUCAGGAGCACUCACCGACCGGAGGUUUUGGUUAAGAGU
rnacentral:misc_RNA from 1 species